GUCUACAACCAUACCACCCUGAACGCACCUGAUCUCGUCUGAUCCCAGAAGCUAAGCAGGGUCGGGCCUGGUUAGUACUUGGAUGGGAGACCAAUUACAGACAAUCCAUUUUAGAGA
rnacentral:rRNA from 1 species